rnacentral:rRNA from 1 species
AUUGAACGCUGGCGGCAGGCCUAACACAUGCAAGUCGAGCGGAUGAAGGGAGCUUGCUCCUGGAUUCAGCGGCGGACGGGUGAGUAAUGCCUAGGAAUCUGCCUGGUAGUGGGGGAUAACGUCCGGAAACGGGCGCUAAUACCGCAUACGUCCCGAGGGAGAAAGUGGGGGAUCUUCGGACCUCACGCUAUCAGAUGAGCCUAGGUCGGAUUAGCUAGUUGGUGGGGUAAGGGCCUACCAAGGCGACGAUCCGUAACUGGUCUGAGAGGAUGAUCAGUCACACUGGAACUGAGACACGGUCCAGACUCCUACGGGAGGCAGCAGUGGGGAAUAUUGGACAAUGGGCGAAAGCCUGAUCCAGCCAUGCCGCGUGUGUGAAGAAGGUCUUCGGAUUGUAAAGCACUUUAAGUUGGGAGGAAGGGCAGUAAGUUAAUACCUUGCUGUUUUGACGUUACCAACAGAAUAAGCACCGGCUAACUUCGUG